AGAAUGUGGAUGGGGUAGCCAGGACUAGUGGGUAAAGGACUAGUGCAGAGGGUGUCCCCGUCUGGCCGAAUAACCGCCGUGGCCCGCAGGAACGCCACGUAGCACUAGUCCUGUGAGGCGUCGGCAGCCCCUGGCGACACUGCCCGCGCCAAACCAGGUGGAAAAUCGGGCUGCAAGGGCUUUAUUGUAAUUUGUGACUGAGUUCUUAAAAUUACCCACUUGAUUGCACAUUCUGGCGUUUUGAGAACUUAUACAAAGUGAAACAAUCUGGGCAUUCCCAAAGGCUAUUGUGGACAAAGAGGUAUAGAUGGGGUGUUAUAUUAAUUCCAAUUAGUACCGUUUCAUACUUGUUACUAUCCCAUGGUAUUGAGACCCGGUAGCACUCACCUUCUGCCACUGUUUCUCCACAACCUCAAAUCUAAUUAGAUGCGUUGCCUAAGUGUACUUUUAGUUUAGGGAGGAAUUAUUUUACAGCAAGGUGAAGCCAAAGGAAAAUCACUUGCUAAAUUACCAGAAAUUGGAUUCAACCCAGAUCUCCUAACUUCUAGACAAGUUCUUUUCUCAUUACAUCUAGCAUUCAAAGCCAACUCUUGCACUUUGGGUAGCUAAAGCAGAAGGAUCCUGCCCCUUGAACAG
rnacentral:lncRNA from 1 species